rnacentral:lncRNA from 1 species
UCCAGUCUUUGGUAACUACUUUUCUACUGGGUGCUUCUACUGAAUUUGAUUUGUUAAAACUAUAGCUCCAUCUUGGUCCACAUUCACCCGAUAAAAGGAAGUUCUGCAGCUGUCGGGAUCCAGAAUGGUGGACUGAACUUUCUCAGGAGAUCACUAAGAAACCAGAUGUCAUUGUCAAAAUCAACCAGAUUCCAGAGAGAUAGGAUUUAAAAAAAAGUAGAAGUCUAAACUGGAAAAACCACCAUGAAGAAAUAACGACAUUUACCUUCAACAGUCUUUAAAAUGGACAUAGCUCAGAGUUGUAUUAUCAUCCAUUUGAUUUAAACCCUACUGUAAGGACCAGCUACAAACCCAUUUGGAUUUCAUUUAGUUUGCCCACAGUUAAUUAGUGUUCUGGUAAGAGGAUGAUCUCCCACUUGUGGGAUCUAGCUUGGGAACCACGGAAGGAAUUAUUUUAUAUGGAUACACUCAAAGUUCCAAGAAAUAGCUGUGUCACAAACCCUCUGAACAUGACUUCUGAGCUGGUGACAGCAUCUGCUGCCUGGGACUGGCUUACAGUAUACGGCAAACGAAGGAGGCAGGCAUGUGAUCUCUGUGUAACAGAAGGGAUUCUAACAUGGCUUUUGAAACAAUCUUGUUUCUAGCUCACGGGAUAGCCAAUUAACAGUGCUAGGAACGGUUCAAGGCAACGCCCGGCAGUGCCAGCGUGCUUUCGCUUACUGUUGUGAGGAGCGGUCAUCCUCUGUCGAUAAGAAGGGUGAGAAAAUAGGACCCAGAAAAGCACAAAGUGCACAUAUGCACAGCCACAUCUCCAUCUUCAUCAUCUUGAGAACUAGUAAUCAUUGCCAGUGGGAAGAGAAUGAAAAACAGGAGCCCAGUUGGGUCAGUCAAUAGCUACCUACCCAGGAUAAAUUGCUAAUCACAAGCCCAGCUAGCACGGGUUGAUAAAUAACAAGGUUACUUGACCCGAGGAAAGGACCUGUUUUCUCUCAUGUUGGUAAUUACAUCAAUUCAGAGGGAGACAAGUUGGCUUUCAGCGGCUUAGAGCCAGAUGAUGUUGUAAAUCAAUUACACGUUCUCAGAUCCCUCUCACAGGGUUGCCGAGCCCGUGUAUAUCCAGCAGCUGAUUCCAGUUUGUGUUUGCUGAGUUGAUUGGUGAUAGCCUCUGAGGCCAGUGUGUAUUUGUCCAGAAGGCUUGGGCUCCAGCGCAGGCACAACUCUGUUUCUGGGCUUUAUCUUGCAUACCUGAGGAUCUUGUUGAAAUGCAAAUCCUUAUUCAAUAGUGGUGUGUGUGUGUAUGUAUAUGUGUGUGUAUGUGUGUGGUGUGAUGUGUCUGGUGUGUACAUGUGCAUGUUGAGUUUGUGUGUGUGUGUGUGUUUGUGUGGUAUAUAAUGUGUGUGUCUGUAUGUGUAUGCAGGGGAUGUGCGUCUGUCUAUGUGUGGUGUGUAUGAGUAUGUGUGUAAGUGGUGUGCUGAUGUGUGUAUGUGUUUGUGUAUGCGUGUAUGUGUAUGCUGUAUGUGCGCAUAUGUGUAUGUGUAUUCGUGUUACCUGUGAGUGUGUGUGUCUGUGAUGUGUGAGUGUGUAUUCAUGGUAACUGUGUGUGUGUGUGCAUAUGAUAUGUGAGUGUGUGUUUGUGUGUGCAUGUGUUGAGAUUCUGAGUUGUUAAUAAGCUCCCAGGUGACACCAAUGUCCCUGAACCAUGUACCAUGUUUGCUUAGAGGAAUAAUGGGAGAAAGAGGGCUCACAGGAGUCUGAGGUGAUUGGGAUUUGAAGGGAAUAGAGAUGGAGGAGUUCUGUGGAUUUAGGAUGAUGGUCAACAGGACGUGUCUAAUCUCCACCUUUCUACAUAGAAAAAGACCCAAGCAACAAACGAACAAUUACACUUGAUCACAGUGACUGAAGAGGAGAAAAACCUGCGUGGGGCACAGAAAGCUAGACACAGAAAGAAAGGAAGGGUACAUCGUACUGCAGCUAUCCCACAUCCAAGUGACAUCAGCUCAAACCAAGAGGGACUUUCUUCGUAGAAAAAGCUGAGCAAGAAAACCCCAUCACCACCACAGAUAGCUGCAGUCAUCAUUACUGAUCAGCUCAUUGUUCUCUAUGGCUCUGGGCCAAGCUUAGAAAGCUGCUUAGGGUUCACACUACUCCCAGAGAGGAUGCUUCAUUGUGCCCCAAUCCCUGUGGCCCAAGCUUCUAUUUAACUAUUCUGUUUUGAAUGGGAGCCACAGGAGACCAUGUCCUGCUGCAGAGGCCACUGGCUACUAUAGUAUGUCACUACUCAGCCUUUGCUGUCUUGUUUACACACAUGGGAAUACAUCACUCACAGGCUGAGUGACGGCAUUACAACACACCUCCUAGGAGGCAUACCAUUCCCAUCCCAGUUGCCUCUAUUACUGAGCUUUCUCAUUCCGGUCCACAGGGGAGAUGCCAUCUGCGGCAGCCUGAACUAAUUUGUGCCCUUGCUCCAAGGGAGUAGAGCUUUGUAUUGGGAAGCAACCCUGAUGUUUGCAUCUCAGCCCACAUAGCAAACUGUCCCCAGUGAAGCACUGUGCAGGCAGAGCAGUUGUGACAAUCUGUGAGUGAGCACAAGCCUGGUGGUUGUACUUCCAGGAACUGGAACUCUGUAGGAGGGGCCAGUCAAAACCUCAAUAUCCUGGCUCACAUGAUGCCUUGCUUUCUGUAUGCCAGAAGUACUUGUACUAUGAGAUAGCUGUAUGAGCCCCUUUGGUGGGGCUGCUGUGGCAGCCCUUGAGGUACAAGGAAAUGCCAUGCAUAUCUUCAUGAACCUUAAUAUCAUAGUACCUCUCCCAGAGGUACUGUGUUUCACACUCCAGGAUCCAAAGAAAACACUUCAUGGUACCCUCUCUCCUGACACCUGAGCUGUGACUCUAGUGAUUCUGGGUCCCUGAAUAUACCUAUACUGAUGCUCCCUGGGCAUCGGGGCUAUGAAGGAUUCCAUUUUCCCUCAAUCCACUGGUGUGCCUUAGUCUCAGGGUUAAAGUCUAUAGAACAGGGAGGGAAUCCCCGUCACCUGAUUGGGGGUCAUUGGGGAAAUGUAUGGAACAAGGACUCAAUAGCAGAAGGGAAUCCUGGAGAAUUCACAAAUAUUCUAAAAUGAUAAGAUAUGUUCUCAAAGUACCAAGGCUCCAAGGGGGGGGGGCACCCAAUAUUUCGAGACAAAAGGCAAUAGAAAUAGAACACGUCAAAACUUACAAAGUGCAGCAAAAGCAACCCUGAGGUGAUUUUAUACUAAAAACACUUAUCUGUAAAAC